rnacentral:sRNA from 1 species
ACACAAGAAGGGAGGUGGUCCGCGAAAUUGAUAGCUUCAUGGACAUGUGAGGUGGCUGCGCGCUAGCGCAUCCGCUCGGAAGAGCCGGCCUGCCGCUGGCGAAUUCCCCGCAGUCACCCGGCCCCCGAGCGUCCGGUCCGUCCAACCGGAAUGUCGCUCGGGGGCCGCACCAU